AUGUUAUUAACUAAUAUUGCUCAGUAUAAUUGGUGGCUGGAUCCUGGUCAGUCACGCCUCCAAGCGGUGGACGUGUAGAAAUCAAUCACUGGGAUUGCACUAUUUAAAAUACGCACCCAAAGGUGAGUGUCACUAAACCCUUCUUUUUACUGCUUUCUAUAUAUUUUGGGGGUAGAACACGUCGUUAAAAGGGUUUAAUAAUGUUUUCGAAAUAAAACAUACCUUUUAAUAUAAAAUAUAUAUUUUCUCUGAAAAUAUAUGAAAUUUGAUAAGUCAUAUGUUUCGAAGUAAAAACGUUUUUGAUGAAUAAAUGUUGGACAUUGGGAUGAUACGGUAUUUCCUAGGCGAAACAUGACCGUAUAGUUGGGACGGAUGUCGGCCUGUGUCACACCCCGGCCGCGUCAAAACAACCAAAAGCCGCGGCGGAAACGCCGGGGAGUGAGGUGACAGAAUUAUUGUUUCAACAAGCAUGGCAAACAAAGUUUUGUAUAAUUAAAAUUAAAGUUACAUUGUCUUUUGUUGGUCCGGUAUUCGCUCCGAAAUCGAGCGUAUCGACACGUUCGACGUGCGGAAUCCGUGAACGUGCGUGACCGAACACACGAGAACGUAAUAAUGACGUGAUUCUAUUGAUAUGAUGUCGUGUACAAAGCCGUGAAUCACGUAGAGAGACUUUCUCUCUCUAGACUUUCUCUCCCUAAAUCUCCAAAUGAGCCAAAAGUCUCUAAACUAAACCCUAAGUCUCCUAUUUAUAGGCACAAGGUUAUAAGGGAUUUCCCCUUAUUUACAAUAAUGCCACGUUACCUAUUUCUUACAAAUUACAAUAUAAAGCCUAUUUUACUUCUAUUUCUGCUACGGUUCCGAUUCACGAAGGCGAUAGACAUUCUUCACUAACAGACUCCCCCUUAGAUAUUUCCGCAGUCAAUCCGUAGUCAAACUCGUAGCAACUUUCUUCUUGAAGGUUUGACGGUUUCAACAACCAUAGACUCCCUCUUUCUCAAACAGAAUCCCCGUGGAUCUGUUUACGAGCUUCAGUUGCUCCCCCUCUCGCUUAGACUCUUUUUCUUCAGGCUCCCCCUUUCGUCAAGCUUCCGUGCUUUUGGGAACGACACCUGGAUUCCGAUUACAAGCUCUUCCAGGAACGAUACCUGGCUCUUUGAAUCCACGCUUUCGUUUGUGUUGAGCUCGUCUUCAGACUCCCCCUUAGACUCAGCUGUCGGGAUCGUAGUCUGGCCUUCACAAGUUCACAAGUUCAGGAUCAAUUCCUGGCUUUGUUCUGCACCUGCUCAGGAUUUGAAACCUGGUUAACCUGCACAUCCUCUACCGCAACAUAAGUUUCACAAAUUUAUAACUGUUGGAUUUAAGAAACUUACUGGUAGAAAUCAUUCAUUCAUUAAUCUGUAAAGUUACAUCAAGUUCAAAUGAAUGACCUUGAUUAACAAUCCACACAAUCUUUCAAAACAUUUGUAAAUAACAUUCAAUGUUUUCAACAUAUUCUCCCAAUCCUGUUCAUCAUGUUUAGCACUCUGAAUUUUGAAUAUCAGCUCUUCAUCAUCAGCUGUCGAAAAUCUUUUUGUAUUUUCAAAAUUUUAUGCUAAAACACUCCGAAAAUCUUUUUGGAUUUUUUGUUGUUUUUAGAGAAAUGUAGUAAAGAAAUAUUUACAAUCAAUAUUUUUGUGAGUUUGUGUAAGAGGAUCAUAUCAUUUCAUGAGACAAAUCACUAGCACCGUUAAGCUUAAAUCAUUUUAAGUUCUAAACGAUUCACAUAGAUUGACGAUAUAGUGGUCCUCUUAAACUCAAUCUAAAAACUUUCGAAAUGCUUACCGAUACGUUUAAGGUAUAUUAAUUUUGCACUAAGUUCUUAUGGACCCUACGAUCUCAGCAUAUCCCCUCAUCAUGCAAUACACUAACUCAAAUAACGCCUUUAAACUUUCAUCAACGGUGAUUUGUGCGAAAAUAACGCAGAAUGUUUAAACAUUAACAAUCAGGUCGAUACUUCCGUAUACGCAGAGAAAGUCCAAUGUUUAAACAAAAUAAGAAAAUAAAACAAGUUGAAGUUGUUUAGGCUUUAACCACCAGGUAGAUACUCCCGUAUACGCAGAGGUGAUCCAAAGCUUAAACGA
rnacentral:lncRNA from 1 species